GACGAACGCUGGCGGCGUGCCUAAUACAUGCAAGUAGAACGCUGAAGAGAGGAGCUUGCUCUUCUUGGAUGAGUUGCGAACGGGUGAGUAACGCGUAGGUAACCUGCCUUGUAGCGGGGGAUAACUAUUGGAAACGAUAGCUAAUACCGCAUAACAAUGGAUGACACAUGUCAUUUAUUUGAAAGGGGCAAUUGCUCCACUACAAGAUGGACCUGCGUUGUAUUAGCUAGUAGGUGAGGUAAUGGCUCACCUAGGCGACGAUACAUAGCCGACCUGAGAGGGUGAUCGGCCACACUGGGACUGGGACACGGCCCAGACUCCUACGGGAGGCAGCAGUAGGGAAUCUUCGGCAAUGGGGGCAACCCUGACCGAGCAACGCCGCGUGAGUGAAGAAGGUUUUCGGAUCGUAAAGCUCUGUUGUAAGUCAAGAACGGGUGUGAGAGUGGAAAGUGCACACUGUGACGGUAGCUUACCAGAAAGGGACGGCUAACUACGUG
rnacentral:rRNA from 1 species